AGUGAACGCUGGCGGUAGGCCUAACACAUGCAAGUCGAACGGCAGCACAGGAGAGCUUGCUCUCCGGGUGGCGAGUGGCGGACGGGUGAGGAACACAUCGGAAUCUACCUUUUCGUGGGGGAUAACGUAGGGAAGCUUACGCUAAUACCGCAUACGACCUACGGGUGAAAGUGGGGGCCCGCAAGGCUUCACUCGAUAAGAUGAUCCGAUGUCCGAUUAGCGCGUUUGCGGGGGAAUGGCCCACCAAGGCGACGAUCGGUAGCUGGCCUGGGAGGAUGAGCAGCCAAACGGGAACGGAGACACGCACCAGACUCCUACCGGCGGCAGCGGUGGGGAAUAUUGGACAAGGGGCGCAAGCCUGAUCCAGCCAUACAGCGUGUGUGAAGAAGGCCUUCGGGUUGUAAAGCACUUUUGUUGGGAAAGAAAUCCUGUCGAUAAAUACUCGGUGGGGAUGACGGUACCCAAAGAAUAAGCACCGGCUAACUUCGUGCCAGCCGCCGCAGUAAGAC
rnacentral:rRNA from 1 species